GAAUUUGUGUAAAUGAUAUUAACAGUCAUUACCGCUUGUCCGUCUGUGUCGCUGACGCCUGAACGCCGGAAAAGAUACCCGCUUGCUAGAGCGGGUUGGUGCUUCGUGAGGCAAUAAGAGUUGUUGAGCCUGUGUGAAAGUGUUACGCCCCAAGUCUCGUCCGAUUUGUCAAUGAGAAUUGUAUCUUGGUCUGAGUCGGGAGAUGGCUGUUGUGCAUGUUGCGGAGGAGUAUGCUGGUCCGUGUAUGUAGGCGCGUUUGCUGUUGGGGGAGUGGCUGCAGGACCUGACGGAUCAGGAGACGGCACGGGUCGAGGCGUAGAUCCUGGUGUUGUUGAUGGGCCAUUCUGUGCGGCCUGCUGGCUUAAUGCACUAGGUUGAAGAGGGGAUGAUGGAAGUUUGAGAGAGAGGCCAGGUUUUGUAUUAACAGAAAUGAUGCCUAAUUCGACUUUAAUGGCUUUGGUGCGAUUGUACUGAUCCAGAAGGGAUGUCCACAUUUCAACCUCUUCUAGAUCGACUGGUUCAUCUUUUACGACGAUCAACCGCCAAUGCGAUAAUGACAUAUCCAUAAUGUCCUUUGACGUUUCCCAGAUCUGUGUUCGGAUUUCUGAUAUAGGUCUGGAUACCGGAGAAUCACGUUCCCGAAGGCAAUACGAAAGAGCGCUUUGGUGCCUUCCACUAUUGUCUGUCCAUGCUGCGGUUACCCAACGUUGGUCGACACUUUGUGAGUAAGCAACAUGGAGGGAUUUGGCUUCUUCUAACGGUGCCACAGAUUCUGCCGCCAGCCUAAAUGGCACCACUUUUGGAACUGGAUCCGCCAGCACA
rnacentral:sRNA from 1 species